rnacentral:rRNA from 1 species
GACGAACGCUGGCGGCGUGCCUAACACAUGCAAGUCGAGCGGGAUCCAUCCGGUAGCAAUACUGGUGAAGAUCUAGCGGCGAACGGGUGAGUAACACGUGAGAAACCUGCCCCAGACUCUGGGAUAACACGAGGAAACUCGUGCUAAUACCGGAUACCUUCUUUUGGUCGCAUGGCCAGCUGAAGAAAGAGUUAUCGGUUUGGGAGGGUCUCGCGGCCUAUCAGCUAGUAUGCGGGGUAACGGCCCACGAAGGCAUCGACGGGUAGCUGGUCUGAGAGGACGAUCAGCCACACUGGGACUGAGACACGGCCCAGACUCCUACGGGAGGCAGCAGUGGGGAAUCUUGCGCAAUGGGCGAAAGCCUGACGCAGCAACGCCGCGUGCGGGAUGGAGGCCUUCGGGUUGUAAACCGCUUUCAGCAGGGAAGAAAUUGACGGUACCUGCAGAAGAAGCCCCGGCCAACUACGUGCCAGCCGCCGCAGUAA